CUCUCUCUCUCUCUCUCUCUCUCUCUCUCUCUCAGACACCAUGAAUGAUGCCAAGACUCACUCCAUCUCCAACUUCAACAUGAUUUCUUCCUUAUACUAACUCUCUCCUACUCUCACAACAAAGUCAUGUCUCUAAUGCCCUUGUUGUUUCGGUCACUGGUGAGGCUGGUUUCAUCGCUGGUGGGUCGGCCAGCGACGUCCGUCACCACCAUACUGUACUACAGCGACCUCCUCCCCCGCAACACCAACCUGGAGCGAUUGGUCCGACCAGAUAUGCUUGAUCGAGAGAACUAUCUCCUUCAUUUCCUCAUCAACCUCUUGAGAUGUUUCUGAGUGAGUGGGGUGGGCCCGGCUCUUUUUCAUGCAAACGUAGCGGUUGAUUUUUUGGCAGUGGAUGGUGCAGCCAAACAGUGGUCUCCAGUGCAACUGGACGACUAGUAUUGUUGGACUAUCAAUUACCAUGAACUUCUCAAAAGGGAACUGAUUUUUUUUUUUUUUUUAAAUAGAAGGGAACUGAUUCAGUGUACUGUUAUAAGAGUCAAAUAGAUUUUUUGGUUAGAGCAAACCAUUUGGGAGUGGUUCCAAAUUCCAAUCUGUUGAGUUGAGGCAAAUGGCCAAUGUUGGGCUGUAAUGCAGCUAGAGUGUAUACUAAUAAAGAGUUAGGCCUUUAAUAGGCCCAUGGGUUUAAAAGAAUGAGCUUGUAAGUGUAUCGUUCUCUUUGAUGGGCUAUUGCUGUAUGUAUUUUAAUAAUUGAAUGGAGCCUUCAAACUAAUA